UACAGAGGGUGCGAGCGUUGUCCGGAAUCACUGGGCGUAAAGGGUGCGUAGGUGGCGAGGUAAGUCGGAUGUGAAAGCUCGGAGCUCAACUCCGAAAUGGCAUUGGAAACUACCUUGCUCGAGGGUUGGAGGGGGGACUGGAAUACUUGGUGUAGCAGUGAAAUGCGUAGAUAUCAAGUGGAACACCAGUGGCGAAGGCGAGUCCCUGGACAACUCCUGACACUGAGGCACGAAAGCUAGGGGAGCAAACAGG
rnacentral:rRNA from 1 species